AACCUGGUCUGGCUCUACCUCAUGAAGGGCAGGGCCACCCUGAUCAUAUGCAUCAGGCUGAAAGAGGGGACAAUAGAGGGAUCCUGGAUGAAUUGUUUAGGGCCCCAUUUGGUGAAGUUUGCCAGACAUUUGAGGCUGGUGAAGAAACAGGAAUCAUUGAAAAUAGGAAAGAAAGGUGCAGCUCAGCUGUGGGAGUAAAG